GUGACACCGGAGACAGGAAACUACAAAACAAAACAGGAAACGAACCCACACCGUGACCAAGGUGGUGUAGACGGCAGACGGGAUGGUGUGGGGGUCAAGCUGGUGGACGUCCAAAUGUAAUCCUUUCAUUAACUAUACUCCAAUUUAUUUUCUAUAGGAAAAAGAAGAGGGAGAAGGAAAAACACGCAGAUAAAUACAACUUUAUACAACAACCAGGUCAGUCUCCGUUGGAGGAGAAGAAGGAGAAAGCGAGAAACACCAAUGCCACGAGAAGCAGCUAUUUAGGUGACCUGUGCAAAGGAAAAGGUGCUAAUUGCGUCUACUCGGAGGACUAUCUUGCGUUUCAUACCUACAUGCCCCUGCGUGGGUUAAUUACAAAAAAAGAAGGAUCCUGUUGUCGUCUUUUGAAGAAAUAAAUAAUCCCAAAACAGAAA
ensembl:lncRNA